CCAUGCGCUCGAGACCAAGAUCACAUGCUAGUAGUACCCAACGCGCUCUCCACCAAACCCAUGGUAACGACAACCUAGCGAACCAAGAUGCUCGCUUUCUGAUGCUUGCCAUGGAUCUUCAAAUUUGUUACUACUAGUUUUGGCAUCAAUGAGCAGUUAAGUUAGUCUAUUCUCUGUUGCUGUUUACUGCUUUGCAGAUAUUGACAUGUGCAUUCAAUGCUUGGGUCUGGGUAACACAGGACCAAAAUGGCAGUAAUUCUUGUCCAGUAUUCUUGCUUCUCGGUGAUCACUAUUGUUGAGAAUAGAGUAAUGCUCGUAAUAACAGUUACUCACUUGCUUUUGGAUCUUUCUAGUCUUUUGCUAGGGAUUAUUCCUUUCAGAGUAUUAAUGAUUAUAAAACUAUAAAUGGAUAUGUAAAGUACACAGCUCUUAAUUCAGUUCAGCUGCCCAUAGAUUGACCUGCUUUCAUCUUUCAAUGCCUUAAGCAGCUAAUUUGAUUUGGGUUCUGCUCUGGACUACAGGAUAGAGUCACUAUGGCUGAGACCAUCUCUUUUCUGAAGCAAAUGCUACUGAAAUUGGUGCCCAGAUUAAUCUUGAGACAAAGACGGUUGCUGAGUUAUUUUGCUUGGACAUCUUCAUCAAAUAUGAUGCAAGGAUGCAUCCACCCAUCACCAUUUCGGCUUUGCAACGUACAAGUUUCAUAUUUUAUUUUGCAUCUCCUGAUGUUCAUUUCUUUCGUGCCUGGACUGCAGCAUGUUCGGUUUACUGUCACCGUGAGUAAGCUUAGCUCAGCUUAGCUAUGAUGGUGGUCUUCUUCCUGAAAACGUGCCAUGAGUCAGGAAGUGCAUAUGGUGUUCAAUACAGGUAUCUAGAUUCGGGUUUUCUGCAGCUGAUGCACCAGGGUGAUUGGCAGCAUCUGUUCUUGCUUCAUUCUAGUGAUGACCACAAGUAAUGCUAAAUAAUUCAUAAAGGGAAUGUCACCAGUUUAAGAAACCCUCUUAGGUGUAUUCAUCUCAUCUGCCAUAUCUGGUACACCACCCAGUAUAUGGACUAAUCUUGUGCAUGGACUCCUCCUGUUCUUUUGUCAGCUAUCACCAAAUUGAGUUGACGAAGGUUGUUUCACCUUGCAUGUUCUUCUGUGGUCUUAUUGUCCUGGGGAUCAUGAAAGGAUAGAGUCACUAUGGUUGAGAGCAUCUCUUUUCUGAAGCAAAUGCCACUGAAAUAAUGAAAUUAGUGUCCAGAUUAAUCAUGAGACAAAGAAGGUUGCUGAGUUACUUUGCUUGGACAUCUUCAAAUAUGAUGCAAGGAUGCAUCCACUGAUCCACCCAUCACGUACAAUUUUCAUAUUUUAUUUUGCAUCCCCUGAUGUUCAUUUCUUUGGUGGCCGGACUGCAGCAUGUUCGGUUUACUGUCACUUUGACUGAGCUUAGCUUAGCUGUGAUGGUUGCUGAGUUAUUUUGCUUGGACAUCUUCAUCAAAUAUGAUGCAAGGAUGCAUCCACCCAUCACCCUUUCGGCUUUGCGACGUACAAUUUUCAUAUUUUAUUUUGCAUCCCCUGAUGUUCAUUUCUUUGGUGCCUGGACUGCAGCAUGUUUGGUUUACUAUCACCGUGACUAAGCUUAGCUUAGCUUAGCUAUGAUGGUGGUCUUCUUCCUGAAAACUUGCCAUGAGUCAGGAAGUGCAUAUGGUGUUCAAUACAGGUAUCUAGAUUCGGGUUUUCUGCAGCUGAUGCACCAGGGUGAUUGGCAGCAUCUGUUCUUGCUUCAUUCUAGUGAUGACCACAAGUAAUGCUAAAUUAUUCAUAAAGGCAAUGGCACCAGCCUACGAACCCCCCUUAGGUGUAUUCAUCUCAUCUGCCAUAUUUUGUACAGCACCCAGUUGAUGGACUAAUUUUGAAUGUUGCCGUAGUCCUCUUUCUUUUCUGGAAAGAAAAAUCGCCGCUUGAAAUUUUUUAUUUAUGGAUUUAUUCAUCUCGGGGCUUUCAGUUUAGUUUUGUGAUUGCGCUUGUUGUGGGAUGUAAACUGCUUGCUACUGAUCAUUGCAAUUGGGUACAAAAGGAAUAUAUGUUUGUUUUGUGUUACAAAAUAAAUAUCGCAUAAGUAGGGGGAAGGUGUAAACAUUGGUGCUGCAAGAGAAGCAAAGAGAUAGGUCUAUGUAUUACUCCCUCCGUCCCAUAAUAUAAGUGCGUUUUUGACACUAGUGUAGUGUCAAAAACGCUCUUAUAUUAUGAGACGAGGUUUUUGCAGAUAGAGAAGUACUCCCUCCAUUCAUAAAUAUAAGAUGUUCUAUUUUUUUUCUAAAUCGGAUGUAUAUAGACAGGUUUUAGUGUGUUUGUUCUCUCAUUUCAGUCCGUAUAUACUCCAUAUUGAAAUAUCCAAAUCAACUUACAUUUGUGAAUGGAGGGAGUACUAACUAUGUUCAAUAAAUUGAUGCUGGCAAAAUGCCACUGUAGCUACUCACACUCCUUUACUUUUGUCCUCCUAGAGCAUGUUCAGAUUGGUAAAGAAAUCAGCAUUGUGCUUGCCUUCGAUAAUGGCUGGGAUCCAUGUCCCCUUUAUUUUCUUCCUCCAUAGUUGCUUUAUGUUCAGAUUGGUUAACAGUACUACAGAGGGAAAUUUGAGAAACAACUACCGUACCAAUUAUUUACUGGAUUUUAUUAUUUAUUUUGCACCUCAAUGGCUAGUUGUGAUGUCCCAUUAGGCCUCUAUAGUUUACACAAUAUACUAUAUUGGAUUAAUUUACUUGUUGACCGAAAUGAUAUAGCAGUGAUGUACAGUCUAGCUCUCAGAUUUGUUGCUGUAAUUAUUUUCAAUCUCCAGUUUUGAAGGGUGUACUUAUUGUUGUCUCUCAAAUCACAAUGUCAUGUGGGCAUGUGCCUACUGAUGACAGAGCCACAAAGUUUUUUUAACAAAUAUUUAUUUUGACAUUGUGAAGCAAGAAUAACAUAAAUGUCCCAAGACACAGGUCGUGUUCGUGCUACUACAUAGUAAUGAUGCUGUUUGUUUUAUGUUAGGGUGCCACAAUAUUUAUAUCAUAUUAUGGACAGUGAUGAAGUGACUUAUAUUGUUGAGUAUGCAGAGAUCAAUAAGUGAGCAAACUUAAGCUAGACAAUAGUGCUACGCGACCAAAUAUCUGUCCCUGGAUACCGAGAAUGUGAGUGAGCCCCGUUCUGCUGCCGUUGUUAUAUUACCUCCGGGGAAGACCGACUGGGUGUACUAAAUGCUCAAUUGGUACCUGCAUACCAUUAGGAGAUACAUUUUGGUGUAGCUUAUCUCAGUGUCAUAUAAAGAAACAGUAAAAGCUUUGCAUUUCUUCUAUUAUGCCAACACAUCCCGCUUGGUUUGUUUCUACUGUGGUAGAAACACAAGCUCUGCUGGAAAGGUAUAGCGCAAAUUCACAAGUAUCACAACUUCGUCAUCAAAUGGGUUUAUUAUCCGAUGAGGCUAUAGUGUAGCCGAACAUACGACUCUUUUAUUGCUUAAAAGAGGCAGGGGCUAAUUAUAUCUAAGUUUUAAAAUAGUAUUUUCUGUUGACCUGAGCAACAACAGUGGUACAACUCUUUUAUUAGCUCUGCUAUGUGUUUAUUGGAUGUUAGGUUGCUGAUGGAAAUAGGCGCUAGGAUAAUUGGAGCUGUAUUUUAUUGUAAUGUGUUAAGAAAUCAAGUUACUUGCUUUAAAGUUCUUUGAUUUAUAUGAUGUUUUACAUUGUACACAAAGGUGGCUUGCCAGGUAAAUUUGCGAACAUAUGUUUUGGGGUUUGAAUUAGUGUCACUUUGCCUUGCAGGUACUGGAUACAACAAUGUGAAUGGGGUGGCUUUAUCAAACAAGUAUCAUUGUCCAUGGUGGAACUAUCUAGUGUGUGUGCUCUGCAGAAAGGGUGGCACAGUAGAAGAUGCAUGAAUGCCAUAUUGAGGAUUCUAUAUGGGUGCAGUGAAGGGCACUUGUUUCUCUAGUUUGAUUGGAAAGCCAUGAUUAGAACAAAAGAGUUGGUCCAGAACGAGUGGGCGGAGUAGGGAUGUUGAUUUGAGAUAGUUGGACUGCAGAUGGAGAAGACCCCCUGCUGAAAGCUGACCUGGAUAUCAAGGGAACAUCAAUACCAGUGUGAAAUAAGCAUCCUGAUUACAGAACGGGCACCAGUAUCUCAACUCUGUUACGGCUUGGGGCUGUGGUGCCCUCGAGGGAGAAGUAUCAAGGUUAGCUGGGGAUUAAGCAGCUAAGGAGGUCUUACAUAUUGAACGUCGCCGUUGGACCGCCCAAGGACAUGCCGGUCCGGGUGGUCGUUGGUAUGGCAUGUCGCCAUGAGUUGAGCACGAGGACAGGCUCCUCAAUCUUCCUUGCUGUCGACCAAUUUCUGCUCAUGGCCCCAGCAUCUGCCAGAUCAAUCAUGUAUGCAUACAUGAUUGAAGAAUAAGAAGGUUCAGAAAUGCUCACUCUACGGGGGCACUCUCCUCCAUCAUCGCUUCAAAGGAAACCAGACACCUUCCACGGAGUUGAGCAGCUCUCACCCUUGCCGUGGCACUCUCCUCCAUCAUCGCUUCAAAGGAAACCAGAUACCUUCGACGGAGUUGAGCAGCCCUCACCCUUGCUGUCUAAACUACAUGAGCCUGUGUGGAAGAUGAUGAAUUAAUGUCCCCAUCCUGAGAUGCUGCAUCUGAAUUUUGAAUCAUAAUCCCUCCAUUGGAAACAACAACUCUCUGCUGCAACUGUCCACUAGAAUUGCAGAAGCAAGAGGCUGCUUUUACAAUUCUAGUUAAUUGCAGAGGCAAGCAACUGUCCUCAGUAGGAAAGACUAUCCCAUAGUUUGCAGAAGAUCGGUGAUCAAACCCACUUCCUGAGGUAGAGGUGUGAUCCUCCCAGAGAGAAGGGUAAUAGAGAGAGAGGGAGUGUGUGUGUGUAUGUCUGUCUGUGUGUUGUGAGAGAGGAAACCAGCCUAGUUGCGAGUAAAAUUGGCAGGAGCAGAGUCACUUGUGCGUGACUUUUGACAUGGA